rnacentral:lncRNA from 1 species
AGGACAAGUCUGUCUCCCAACACGCCUGGAAUGCCAGCCCCGCAGCAGCCCCGGCGGAGGCCGGGGUUGACGUCACCGCUCCAGAUGCAUCUGCAACCCUGAAGGUAUUUGAACAUCCUGCAGUGGGAUUUAGCUCCUCUGACUCCCAUCCUCGCCCACAAAUCCGCUAACACGGGGCAUGUUUGCAGAGUGAGGCGGCUGGAGCCGGGGGACAGCUGCGGUUAGGCAAUGGUGAGGCUUGUCAUCAGAUGCAGAGAAGGGCGGCUUUGUUACCGGCUCCCUCCCGGACAGAGAGCCCCUGCCCCCGCUGGCGAGGUAACAAGGAGAGCCUUGUGACUUCACUUCUUCCGGAUCAACAGCAAGCUUGUCCUGACUUCCCGCUUCUGCAACUAUUUUCACCUGGAAGGAAAAAAAAGUCCCAUGUUAAGAAAAGCAGGAGCUCUCCUUCUUUUCAGCCUUGGAGUAUGGCCGUCCGGAACAGUCCUUGUCAUCUGUUCCCCUGUACAGGGAAACGGAGGCGCACGGCGUGGUUCAAACACGCUGUUCUCAGCAGUGAUGUUUUAUUGGCAUCCUGGGGACGCAAGGCACAAAGGCCCUGUGAUGGGACACUGGCAGGUAUGCCUUCGAGGAACCAACGGAAACAACCCAACACAACCAGACAGACCCCUGGGCCUCCCUCCAGCUCCCUUCCUGGGUGUGGCCCUCCUUCCCUUCUCUGUUGGUGUGGAAAGUAACAUCACGUCUCUUCAAUCCAAGGAAAUCUUGGUGACUCCAUUUUGCUCCAGCUUUGGCUCAAACACCUUCCUGUGACCCCCUGCCCCCUUUCCCUCUUCUCCCAGUAACAAUCUGUUUCAAAUGAGCCCCCCGAGAAGAAUGUGGGCCCUGACCUGACCCACGGGAAGGGGACAGGUCCAUCACCUGCGUUAGGGAUGCACAGGGAGGGUCUUUCCUUCUUCACGUGCGCUCGCUUUUUGAGCACUGGCGCCUCCUGCAGAAGGAAAGAGCCUUGUCGCGGUCUCCCCAUGCUCGAGGGUCGCAUUUUCCGACACUGGCGAUGCGAGCCAUCUCCCCGACACUGGGGACAGUCUUUCUGAACCACAGGUCUCCCUCUGUAAUCCAGUCUCCUGCACGGACUCCUUCCCAGGCCACCAGCACCGGAACCACGAACACCUGUCAGCUCAUCCUUUCCUUCCCUGAUGACGUCACCAAAGCCUUCUUCAGCAAGUUCUUCUCGAGUGCAGCCCACCGUUCUCUGGGGUUCCCCCCUGCCUGCCCUUCCCUCCGCUUCUCUUUCUCUUCCCACGGUCAUGGGGCUUGGAACCCUUGAUGGGAAGGCUUGCUAGGUCUUGGAAGUCCCAGGUAACAGGUGAGUGUGGUGGGCGACAGCUAGAUCCCCGUGGCCACCUCUCCCCCCAUGGCCAGCAUCUGAACCCUUCUCCUCCCUAAUGGGCUCUCCUUCCUGGUUACGUCACAUCUGG